CCCGUGGGGGUGGAGAUUAAUUUGGCCAGUGUCUCUCUGGGUAGACCUUGGAGUCGGGUUGUUUGUGAAUGCAGCCCAAAGUGGGUGGUAAACUCCAUCCAAGGCUAAAUACUAGCACGAGUCCGAUAGCGAACAAGUACCGUGAGGGAAAGUUGAAAAGUACUUUGAAGAGAGAGUAAACAGUGCGUGAAACCGCUCAGAGGUAAACGGGUGGAGUUGAACUGCAAGCUCUGUGAAUUCAGCUGGUGAGUAUGGUUUGGGCUUGGUCAAUUGGUCGAGCUUCGAAGUCUGCGUAUUAGCAGGUCUCUGCUCUCGGGUGGAGAUGCGCGGUGCACCUACCAAGUGUUGUGCGCUUCGGAGUUCCGGAUCAGCUCGCCAGUGCACUUUUGCAGAGUGUUCACCACGACCGGCAUCGCUGUCUGGCUGUUGUGGUUAAACCGGUCUUGCAUUGUCCUUGUGGCUUUGUUUGGUCGGGACGGCAGGUAGCUCGUUGAUGUUCCGUAGCUUGCUGCGGUCGUCUUCGGGUGUAAUCAGCUGACUACGAUGGUUCUGUGCAGUAUGUCGGAGACGGCGGCUUGUGUGUUCGUGCAUGCCGGUCCUGUGGGCUUGCUCGGGUCUGACUGUCGUGUUGCUUGCGUAAGCAGGCCUGAUGGUGGCUCGGGUUUGUUCUGCAGGCGGUUGUGUGCGUGACAUCUUAUGCGGGCCAAUAGUCUGUGGUGUAGUGGUAGACGAUCCACCUGACCCGUCUUGAAACACGGACCAAGGAGAGUAACAUGUGCGCGAGUCAUUGGGCGUAACGAAACCCAAAGGCGCAGUGAAAGUAAAGGCUUGGCUUGUCCUUGCUGAGGUGAGAUCCUGCCGUUUCUCAUGCGCGGUACUACCAAGCAUCGAGCGGUGGGCGCAUCACCGGCCCGUCCCAUGACGUAGACACAUAGCUUCAUGCCAGUGCACCGUCGGGGCGGAGCAUGAGCGUACAUGUUGAGACCCGAAAGAUGGUGAACUAUGCUUGCGCAGGUUGAAGCGGAUCCUCUGGUGGAGGACCGCAACGAUUCUGACGUGCAAAUCGAUCGUCAAACGUGAGUAUA
rnacentral:rRNA from 1 species